ACAAGGAAUCAUUGUAGAUUACAGCAGAGACCAUGUAAAUGGCCGAUUACAUUAAGCGCAAAAGUUUGCGGGCUAGAGCG